rnacentral:misc_RNA from 1 species
CAUUCGAACGCUGUUGAUUCAGACGCGGAGCGGACCGAGCGCAAUCUUUUCUGGCUUCGAUCGUCGCAGCCGCGGAUGUUCCUGACGUCGGAUGUAGCCUUACUCUAGUCGUCGUCAUGGAUGUUCGCCGCGAUCCCGUGCCGUUGCCGGCGCUCUGUCCCGCUCCCCGCUCCGGUGACACUCUCUGCCGCACUCUGCGAAUGUCGCCACACGUGUUCGCGGUAAAAUUUUGGCUGCUCAGCCGGUGACGUCUGCAUUUUUUGAUCUAUACUUUUUGAAGAAGUAACUUGAGUUUUAUCCAGCGACAAUGUUUAAACGCGCACGAAAAUCGGUGUCGUUUCAGGACCGGCAUGAGGCUACCAGAAGUGUUAUGUACGAUGGGUUUUUAGCGCUAGUGAUGGAGCCUGCAACGGGGGAUGAUGAAGCUCCCAAGGAUCCCGGCGCCAAGCAAACAAAACACCAAAGCUACACCGAGAAAGACUUCGAGGGUCACCGAGCACACACCAUGUACGUGGGCGUACACGUGCCUGGAGGUGGCGGCCACAAGCGACACCGUCGACACCACAAGCACCACCACAAGACCAACGACCAAGUCAGCGAUGACGAGGAGAGACAGAAUCGAGGAGGCCGUGUGGUCUUACAGCGCGCCCGAUUGGCCAGUAUAGCUGGUCUUGCUUCCGAAGAUAAGGAGAUGAUGACUCCACCGGCUCAGCGCGUACAGUUCAUCUUGGGAGAGGAUGCUCAGGAUGAGACUCACGAGUGCCAUCCUCUCUUCUCUGAGAUGGAAGAGCUUGUUCACGGCGAAGGUGAUGUCCUCGAAUGGAAAGAAACUGCCAGGUGGAUAAAAUUCGAGGAAGACGUGGAGGAAGGUGGCAACCGAUGGUCAAAGCCACACGUGGCCACUCUGUCGCUGCACUCUGUGUUGGAGCUGCGCAGCUUCCUCAUGAACGGCACAGUCAUGCUCGACAUGGAGGCUGCCUCCCUCGAACAGGUCGCCGACCUCGUACUCGACAACAUGGUCAACUCCACGGCGCUCCCCCACCAUGCCAGGGACAAGGUGAAAGAGGCUCUUCUACGCAGACACAGGCACCAGCAUGAGAGGCGGAAAGACAACGUCUCCAGGCUGCCAAUCAUCAGGUCACUGGCCGAGAUUGGCCGCAAUCAUUCCUCCUCAAAAAUGGAGGAACAGAGCACAGCGGCCCCCCAGGCGCCCAGGGUGGACUCUGGCUCGGGCCGCUUUCUUGCUCUUCCCGGAUCAAGUUCUGGUGCAGCUCACAUAGGUGAGGGGAUGGACCGUAGUCCAAGCUCAAUAUCAAUGAGUCGAAAUCAUAGCGCUGGUGAUUUAUGCAACGAGCAUCCGAAAGUGAACAUGAAUUUCAUGCGUAAAAUACCUCAUGGAGCCGAGACUUCGAAUAUCCUUGUUGGAGAAGUUGAUUUCUUAGAAAAGACCCUCUCAGCAUUCAUUCGUUUGAAAAAUGCAACACUGCUGGGAGAUUUGACUGAAGUUCCUGUACCGACCAGAUUCCUGUUUAUUCUUCUUGGACCAACUGGUGGUAUAUCUGGCUUCCACGAAGUUGGCAGAGCAAUGGCCACUUUGAUGUCUGACGAAGUUUUCCACGAAGUUGCUUACAAGGCAAAAAACCGAUCCUACCUUCUGUCAGCUGUUGAUGAAUUCCUCGACGCUGUCACCGUUCUUCCUCCCGGCGAAUGGGAUCCUACCAUUCGAAUUGAACCACCAGCCGCCAUUCCAUCACAAGACACCCGGAAAAGACCCCCAGAAAAACCAAUAGAAGAGAAGGAUGAAGAACUUGAAGAGCAAAAAUUAAGAGAAGAGUCUGGGUUGUCAAGGACAGGAAGACUGUUUGGUGGUCUGAUAAAUGAUGUCAAAAGGAAAACUCCGUGGUACAUUUCAGAUUUUAAAGAUGCGCUUGCAAUGCAAUGUGUAGCAUCUUGGAUAUUCUUGUACUUCGCCUGUUUGUCACCCAUCAUUACCUUCGGAGGUCUUCUCAGCGAAGCUACCGGGAAAAAUAUGGCUGCCAUGGAGUCUCUGAUCUCCGGAUUUGUGUGCGGCAUUGGAUAUGGACUCUUUUCCGGCCAGCCUCUCACUAUUCUUGGUUCAACUGGACCUGUCCUAGUCUUUGAAACAAUAGUUUACGAUUUUUGUAUGAGCAGUAGUUGGGAUUACAUGUCAUUCCGAUUAUGGAUUGGAUUGUGGAUAGCAUUCAUUCUGAUUGUUCUUGUUGCGAUCGACGCCAGUGCGUUUGUGUGUUACAUUACUAGGUUUACUGAAGAGAAUUUUGCUACGCUAAUUGCAUUCAUAUUCAUAUACAAGGCUGUGGAAAAUGUGCUACAAAUAGGUAAAAAAUUCCCCAUUAAUACGAAUAGGUUUAAUUAUACGUCGAGAAAUUGUAGUUGUAGACCGCCCACCACCAGUUUGAGUCCAGAUAUCGAGUCAGUCAGCUGGAAAGAUUUGGACAGAGAUUCUUGUUUGUUGUUUAAUGGAACCCUGGAGGGCCAUGAUUGUUUUGUGCCGAAGUAUGUACCAGAUGUCUUCCUUAUGUCCAUUAUAUUGUUCUUUGGAACGUUCCUUAUAUCAAUCCAGUUGAAAGAUUUCAAAAAUGCUUUGUUCUUCCCAUCCAAGGUUCGACAGUUUGUUAGUGAUUUUGCUGUUAUAAUUGCCAUUCUCAGUAUGUCCACCCUCGACUUCCUCACAGGAAUCAAAACUCCAAAAUUAGAGGUGCCUAGUGAGUUCAAGCCUACACUCCCAGACCGCGGCUGGAUGAUAAUGCCUUUUGGAAAAAAUCCGAUUUGGUCCAUAUUUCUUGCAAUCAUACCAGCUCUAUUGGGAACCAUUUUGAUAUUCAUGGAUCAGCAAAUAACUGCUGUUAUUGUUAAUAGGAAAGAAAAUAAAUUGAAGAAAGGCUGUGGCUACCACUUGGAUCUGUUCGUUCUGGCCAUCCUGAUCAUAAUCUGCUCAGUGAUGGGCCUGCCGUGGUUUGUGGCAGCCACCGUUCUCUCCAUCAACCACGUCAAUUCACUCAAAUUGGAGUCGGAAUGUGCGGCUCCCGGAGAAAAGCCUCAAUUCCUUGGAGUCAGAGAGCAGAGAGUGACUCACAUCCUAAUUUUCCUAAUGAUCGGUUUGUCAGUUUUGAUUACUCCGAUUCUGAGACACAUUCCAAUGCCUGUUCUGUUCGGUGUAUUCUUGUACAUGGGAGUUGCAUCUCUCAAAGGACUUCAGUUCUUCGAUAGAAUUCUAAUAAUGUUGAUGCCCGCCAAAUACCAACCAGAUUACAUGUUUCUCAGACAGGUUCCCAUCAAACGCGUUCAUCUGUUUACUGCAAUACAAUUGGCUUGCCUUAUAUUAUUGUGGCUUAUCAAAUCGUUUCAACAAACAUCAAUUUUGUUUCCUUUGAUGCUUGUUGUUAUGAUCGGCUUGAGGAAAUCAUUGGACUUCUUUUUCACUCAACGAGAGCUGAAAAUACUCGAUGACGUCAUGCCGGAAACAAUUAAAAGGACUGAAGACGAUGAGAGACAGCUAGAAAAUGAGAUCGGUGAAAUUAAAAAAGAGAGGAAAUAAGAAAGAUGCCCUAACUGACGACGAAAAAACGAGACUGUCAACUAUGGCUGAAGAGGAUGAAGAAGAAAGUCUCAAUAUAAAGAAAACUCAGAAACGCCUACUGAAAGAUUACAUCAUUGUCAAAAAGAAGAGUGACGGUGAAGAAACACCAGUAUGAGAGUAAAUAAAUUCAUUAGCUGCCUUCCAUUUGAACCCGACACUCCAAUAGACAAAACAUAUCUUGAAGAGGACUGAGUUAUUGAUACCGUUCCGUGGCCAUCAUCAGCCACCAUCACCAGCACUAACCUUCAAAUAUUCCUCUGAAGUUUCUGUGUUCCAUUAGAACUUUUCAAAUUUAGAAACUCAAUUUUAUGAUGAAUGUUACACAUU